UGACAACCAAACACCGCUGCGGUUUCGUGCGUAAGAUGGCCGCCACGUGUUCGUAUACCGAAUGGCGGCCACCCAGAUACAGCAAUAAAGUACUGAUUGACUUGCGGUUAGAGAAGUGUGAAAGGCUAAUAAGGUAAACACUUCUCUCUAGGGUGGUCUACUGGUUCGGUAGUUUUUAUUAGUAUGGGAUACGGAUGAAAACUACCAAACAAACAAACAAAU